UCGGGUGUAGUGCACGGCGCACUGCUGCUGGAAAUUAUUGCUUCAUUUGAGUGGAGCAGCGAGACGGGGUUCGACUCCCCGCACCCGAA